GUAGGCAUCAUUGACUUCAUAUUUGAAUAUUUAACAUAGAAGGAAGCAAUGCACUUUGGAAGUAUCAAUUGACACUACGAAGGCAUAUUGCUAGUUUGCUAUGUAUUCCUGCCAUAUUGGCACUGUAUCAGUGCAUGAAACUUAAAAAUAUUGUAACAUAAUGAUAAUCAAGCAAUAUUUUCAAGGGGAUCAGAAAAAAAACUUUUAGCGUGGUUACAUUUUGUAAAUGAGUGUAACAUGACAGCGAAUUUGACAUGUCAACUUUUUUUUUAUCAUUUGAAGAGAAAAUCUAGUAACAUGUAUUAUUUCGGUUACGUGACAGCAUUUUCUAUAUGUUUUGCUUGUAUCGUGACAACAUUCUUUGAAGGGACAGAUUGCAUACAGAAAAUAUCUUGUUACGGGAAAUGUAUCAAAUCAAACAAAAUAAAUCUUGGAGCAUUUAGGUGACUGAACAUAAGAAGUUUUCACAGGACUAAUGAUUAGCAACAUCGAUUAAAUAACGACCUUUGCAUUAGCCCAUCAUGAUUCUUUUAAACUUUGCCCAUCAUAAGUUAAUACUCUUACUACGGCUUCAUGUUCUGUCACGCAUACAAAAUUAGCACUAUCAUGUUUAUGUGCAAAUAAGAUUUUCCUUUUGAAUGGGGACAAGGUAACCAGAUUAAGGACAAUUAAUUUCAGUUUCGGUCCAGACUAUCCAUUUGGUUGUGACAAGGACAUAGAUCCAUUGUCUAUAACUAUGAUAUUCCUAAGCAUUGCUUCUGUGUUUAACCGGUAGAGAUUUCAAAGUUUUAAAACUGUAAGACAAAACAAAUAUUGUGAAAAACUUAAUGUAAUAAUUUUUCCAUAGCAUAGUAUGCCAUACUGACUAAUUUAAUGGUUUCUGCUGGUGUGCAAUAUGAUAAUUAUCAGUAAUCUUCGUGUUACAGAAACAUUGCCGGUUAUUUAUAAAGCGGGGCGAAAGCCUUUUUCGGUUUAUGUUCCGACAAGUACUGAUGCUGUGGUAACCAACUUCCAUCUUGGGUUGAUUGCAUAUGAGCUGACGUUUCACCGGCAUCCUUCACAGUUUUAGAACGAUUACAACCAACUGUGAGUUUCACAGUUGGCAUUCAGGACAUAGCUCCUCUAUAUGAAUGGUAACAGUAAAAGCAACAUUUAUCCUGAUAUUCUGAGUGAGUCAAGCCUCCGAGUCCUGCAGUGACCAUUUAAAAGAAAAAAGCAAGGCAAAUACGUCUAUAAAUUCCCUUGCCCCCGGAGUCCACACUGUGUGUGAGCUCUCAGCAUUUGGGUACGCCCUUACUAGAGCUCAAAAUUGACGAUGUGCCAGCGUCAGAAGUGGUAAGCACAUGUUUACCGAGCUCACAUUACUUGCGGUGUGAUCGUUCAGGC